UACGUAGGGCGCAAGCGUUAUCCGGAAUUAUUGGGCGUAAAGAGCUCGUAGGCGGUUUGUCGCGUCUGCCGUGAAAGUCCGGGGCUCAACUCCGGAUCUGCGGUGGGUACGGGCAGACUAGAGUGAUGUAGGGGAGACUGGAAUUCCUGGUGUAGCGGUGAAAUGCGCAGAUAUCAGGAAGAACACCGAUGGCGAAGGCAGGUCUCUGGGCAUUAACUGACGCUGAGGAGCGAAAGCCAGGGGAGCAAACGGG
rnacentral:rRNA from 1 species